GUGAGGAAUAUUGGACAUUGGGCGCAAGCCUGAUCCUGCCAUGCCGCGUGCAGGAAGACGCAUCUAUGGUGUGUAAACUGCUUUUGUACGGGAAGAAACACUCCCUCGUGAGGGAGCUUGACGGUACCGUAAGAAUAAGGAUCGGCUAACUCCGUGCCAGCAGCCGCGGUAAUACGGAGGAUCCAAGCGUUAUCCGGAAUCAUUGGGUUUAAAGGGUCCGUAGGCGGUUUAAUAAGUCAGUGGUGAAAGCCCAUCGCUCAACGAUGGAACGGCCAUUGAUACUGUUAGACUUGAAUUACAAGGAAGUAACUAGAAUAUGUAGUGUAGCGGUGAAAUGCUUAGAUAUUACAUGGAAUACCAAUUGCGAAGGCAGGUUACUACUUGUGGAUUGACGCUGAUGGACGAAAGCGUGGGGAGCGAACAGGAUUAGAAACCCUGGUAGUCC
rnacentral:rRNA from 1 species